GGGGGAAUCGCGGUAGUAACGCAGCGAUCCACAUUCACCUAGCCGCCUUGUCCGCUGCACGUUGAUAAAAAUGGAAAUUAAUAGUCCUGUGGCUAAUGGAAUACCAGACAAUUUCGAAACAAUUACGGCCAGAGAGGUUAAGGAGUACAGAAUAGCUUAUGGUCAUUAUCUUCCACCAACACAAAUCCUGCGCCUCCUGGAGCCACGCGCUUAUUUUGC